CCAUAGCCCCGAUGGGAGUGACAUCCCCCGCCGAAAAGCGGGGAUAUAGCGGACAGCGGGAACGACG
rnacentral:sRNA from 1 species